rfam:Felis catus isolate Cinnamon breed Abyssinian chromosome C1, whole genome shotgun sequence.
GCCUGGGUGGCUCAGUUGGUUAAGCGUCUGACUUCAGCUCAGGUCAUGAUCUCAUAGUUCGUGAGUUCAAGCCCCACGUCGGGCU